AUUAUGCUCAUUCUUUUUUUUUUUAACCAGUAAGGAUCUGGAUAAAGAAAAACAUUUUAGAAAACCACUUGUAGAGUACCAUGAACCAGUCUCUCUUCUCCAUUUUAAAAAAUUUAUUGACUCACUUUUUUUCCAUAACUUUUUGAGAUAUUAUUUCAACCACUUUGCAUUUAGAGAAAAAGAGUCAGAGAGUGAUUAAGAAAUCUGCCCAAUGCUAUACUGAUAGAAGCUGGGAGAACUGGGAUUUGAGCUUACAUAGGCUAGUUCUAGCAUUUGUGAAGUUCUCGCCUAAUAAAAAUUAUCUGUAAUCAUAACCAGAGCAAGUCAUUUCUAACCUCCUGUCUAUAGACACGCGGAUACAUUUGUAAUGUUUUUGUUUGUUUGUUUUUAGCACGACAGAUCAAUUCCUGCUGGCAUUAUAGUUCUUUAACUAUCAUAGCUUCUCUGAUUUUUCAACACAUCUGUCAUCCGUAUUCUGCAGGCAUAGCCAACUCUGUCAGUGUCUCCUCAGGCAAUCAGAAUCAACAGACAGAAUGUAGGACAGAAAACUGGCUGCAAACAUGUUGGAAGGGCUGGAGGAGCGAAAGAGGGAAGAUCUGUUACCUAGAGAUAGUAACUUCCAGAAGUUACCACUAUACUAGUGCAGGAGAAGCAGAAAGGAAGAUGCUGCUACCCAGAGCCCACAGUCAUUGUGCCCCUGAUGCCGCUGGAACCCCACUGCAGCUGCUUUACAGGAAGCAGGGAAUUAGCGCUCUUGCUGAUGCUACAGGUAUCCAGGAUCCAAAAGUCAUCAGCCGCUGUCCCUGUUGCAGCCUAGGGAAACUGUCCCACUGAGGUUGUUGGGGUACCUGCUACUGCAUCUACUGUCUGAACCAUGUUGCCUGAGCAGAUGUCCAGGGCUCAGGCUUGCCUGCUGCUGUUACUGCUGCCACCAUGUUUAUCAGAGCUACUUCAAGAAGAGAAGAAAUCCUCCUCAUUUCCAGUUUUUUCCAGUGCCUCCCAUUGCUUCCCAGAAUGCCAAAUUCUCUUUGAGAGACAGCUGAAAGGAAGGUUUGGAAAAGACUCUGGUGUAAGCAGAUUCUGCUUCCCUGCAAUAGGGGGAAAGCAUAGGGUGGAACUGGAGCUGAGAGCUAAUCACGAAUGAGCAAAUCAGUCUUCAAGACAUUUACCUUUCCUUGAAACGUUUCCCUUCUUUUACCGUGUUUUCCAUGUCAUUAUUUUUCCACAAUUCUGCAUCAUAUUCUGUUAACUAUUAAUGCCCUGGAUAAGUUUAUUUGCUCUUUCUUAGGGUUAAUUUUUCUCCUUUUCUUCGAAGCUUUAGUUUGCAGGUUCAGCUUGUGUGGGAAUUUUCAUCUCCCUCCUCUUCAAGACUCCUUGGAUAUCAGUUUUUUGGUUGCCUUCACCAACUCUCCCCCCACCAUCUCUAGACCAGGGCAUGGUCUUAGUUGGUGGCUUGGACUCCUGUGGCUUGGAGUCUUUGGGGAUAUUAGAGAUCCAGUCACUGAGCUGGCAAAGGGAACACUGUCCUUGCUUCCAGCUUUAUGAAGAACGCUUUGCUCUGUCACCCCACGUGAGUCCAACUCUUGGCUGCCUACACUGCCUGAGGCUUCAGUUCUGGCAUCGUGCUGCAUGUGAUCUAUUAUCCUGCUUUUGAAUAUGCCUAUGACUUUUCUUUAUAUAUUUUUAAAAAUGUUAUUAUUGGUAUGUUUACAGUGAAGGGAAGAAUGUGAAGCAUGAACUCAAGAGUCACAGUAAUGAUAAAUUUUAAUGAUUGUAAUUGUCCUAUCUGUCAUAAUACAUUUAUUUUGUUGAUUUGUUUGGAUUUUCUAGGUAAAUAAUCAUGUUAUUCAAGGAUAAUGAAUGCAGCCACCAUGUAAUCAUCACUGACUCCAUGGCCAUGAGAAAAGAGACCUAAGAAAUGAUGCCCAUCCAGAAGAGUGAAGACUUCCUGAAAAUGUUCUUUUAACCUAAGAUGUAGGUUAAGAGGAGUGAAAAAAUGUUCUGUUUCUGACUGAUGAUGGAGCAACAAAGGUAUGUUUCUUAUUAAUAACACUGAGCAGUUAGGAAGCAGAUGUGCCUCUCCAGGGAAACUCACAAGUGUCCACUGACCUAGUAUCUGCGGAGAACCAUAGCAGUUGUGGUCUCUCUCCCCAGCUUCAAGCAAGGGCAACUUUUCCCUGUGUCUGGUUCUUUUGCUGUCACCUGAAGCCACAGAAAAUGAUCUGAACCUGCUCAGUCCCUGGACAUAUCUGGGGAAUACAAAGUCUCAGAGUCGCUCUCUAAGAAUUGCCAGCAUGUUCUAGAGAUUCUUUAGAUGCAUAGCUGCAUGGAGCAAAACAGGGUCAGGGGAUGUGUGCCGAGGCCAAGGUCUUCUCUUAUGUUUCAAAAAUAUUAACAUUUCAGGCCUGUCUUCUUUUAAAGGAUAGCUCAUGUAUAUGAUUUUUUAAAAAAAAAUCUACCAAAUCAAAUAAAGAAGUCCUGGGAGUUCACCCGGUGUUUUCUACAGAACCAAGGUAUUCAUAUUGAGAUCCUUCAAUAUAAUCAGCUAUGUGACCUUGGUUAAGUUAAUUAAUGCCUCUGAAACUGAGGUUCCUCAUCUGUGAAAUGGAGAUAUUCAACAAAGCACCCUGUGGGGAUUAGAUGAGAUUGCACAUCUGACUGCCUAGAGUAUAGUAAGGGGUCACUGUUUCCUCUUCACUCCUCAGGAAAAUUUGAUUGAACAAGGAUAGAAACUUUGAUUCUAGGGACAGAAGGUCUUCAGAAGUCUUUGAGGCCAGAGGGCCUGUCAUAGAACUGCAGUGUAGGUUCAUUAAAACGCUGUCAUCCUAAUGUUUAUCCACAGUAUCUAAUAGAUUUAAAAGGAAGACAAUAUGGCACAGACUAUUUCGGAAACCUAUGCCCAUUCUGCCAAGAGGAUAUCGCUAUUGGUGGUCAGACUAUUUCACUUAUAAGGUUUCUUUUUUCCUUAAGUCAUAAAGAUUAACAUUUACUAAAAAUUUGAGGGUCCAUUAAUGGACUCCCACAUGGCUUUCCUCUUUCCUUUGAGCUGGAUUCAUUUUCACUGAGUCCCGAGUCCUGCACAUCUGACAAUUGCUUCAGACCUUGGACAUGCUUGAAUUAUUUUAUGCAAAUCAUUUGAAAAGGCAAAGUACCACUGUUCUUUCUUGAGUUUCUUCGUAAACUGGUUUCUAAUUUAUCUGCUGCUUUUUCUCGAUCCAAUUUGUGCCUAUGUCUUACUAUAGAUUCUUUGGAAAUAAAGAAAUAAAGAAUA
rnacentral:lncRNA from 1 species